rnacentral:rRNA from 1 species
AUUGAACGCUGGCGGAAUGCUUUACACAUGCAAGUCGAACGGCAGCACGGACUUCGGUCUGGUGGCGAGUGGCGAACGGGUGAGUAAUAUAUCGGAACGUGCCCAGUCGUGGGGGAUAACGUAGCGAAAGCUACGCUAAUACCGCAUACGAUCUACGGACGAAAGCGGGGGAUCGCAAGACCUCGCGCGAUUGGAGCGGCCGAUAUCAGAUUAGGUAGUUGGUGAGGUAAAGGCUCACCAAGCCGACGAUCUGUAGCUGGUCUGAGAGGACGACCAGCCACACUGGGACUGAGACACGGCCCAGACUCCUACGGGAGGCAGCAGUGGGGAAUUUUGGACAAUGGACGCAAGUCUGAUCCAGCCAUUCCGCGUGCAGGACGAAGGCCUUCGGGUUGUAAACUGCUUUUGUACAGAACGAAAAGGUCUCUAUUAAUACUAGGGGCUCAUGACGGUACUGUAAGAAUAAGCACCGGCUAACUACGUGCCAGCAGCCGCAGUAA